GCAGGUAUAAUUUAAUGGUAAAAUACUUCCUUGCCAAGGAAGAUUUGCGGGUUCG
rnacentral:tRNA from 1 species